UACGGAGGGGGCUAGCGUUGUUCGGAAUUACUGGGCGUAAAGCGCACGUAGGCGGCUUUGCAAGUUAGAGGUGAAAGCCCGGGGCUCAACUCCGGAAUUGCCUUUAAAACUGCAUCGCUAGAAUUGUGGAGAGGUAAGUGGAAUUCCGAGUGUAGAGGUGAAAUUCGUAGAUAUUGGGAAGAACACCGGUGGCGAAGGCGGCGAGCUGGUCCGUAUCUGACGCUGAGGCGCGACAGCGUGGGGAGCAAACAGG
rnacentral:rRNA from 1 species